GAAAAUUGGUGGAUUUCAAGUAAUCAAGCAAUCAAAGGUGGUGAAUCCUCCAAUAAAGGCAAAGAAAUUGUACCCGAGGAUCGAUAGUCAGAGUACUCUAAAAAUUUGACUCCCGAUAUAGAGGAGAGCCUUUCGGUACAGGCAAGGAAGUCAUACCCGACGAACAGUGAUCGGGGCACCUAAAAAGCA